rnacentral:rRNA from 1 species
CGAACGCUGGCGGCGUGCUUAACACAUGCACGUCGAACGGAAAGGCCCUGCUUGCAGGGUACUCGAGUGGCGCACGGGUGAGUAACACGUGGGUGAUCUGCCCUGCACUUCGGGAUAAGCCUGGGAAACUGGGUCUAAUACCGGAUAGGAGCCAUUUUUAGUGUGAUGGUUGGAAAGUUUUUUCGGUGUAGGAUGAGCUCGCGGCCUAUCAGCUUGUUGGUGGGGUAAUGGCCUACCAAGGCGGCGACGGGUAGCCGGCCUGAGAGGGUGGACGGCCACAUUGGGACUGAGAUACGGCCCAGACUCCUACGGGAGGCAGCAGUGGGGAAUAUUGCACAAUGGGCGCAAGCCUGAUGCAGCGACGCCGCGUGGGGGAUGACGGCCUUCGGGUUGUAAACUCCUUUCGCUAGGGACGAAGCUUUUUGUGACGGUACCUAGAUAAGAAGCACCGGCUAACUACGUG